CUCCCUGAAUCUUCCACCUGCCUGCAGUCUGAUUGCAGCAAUGAGAAUCAGCUGCCGUAAUUGGCUCACACCAGUCACCUGUUUGCAAUUCCACCUCCCAGCAUAUAAGCCAGCUCUGUCAUUCCCUCCCUGCUCCACCAUGGAGUCGCACAUCCUGCGUCGACUCGUGACCACCGGAGCUUCUUGGACACGACUCUGCCCUUGUACCCCUGCCGGUUCCUGUAUGGGUUUCCUACCUACCCCUUCAGCUGAGUUUCUUCCCGUGACCAUCUGCUACAAAGCAUUACCGGGUAACAAAUACACCUGAUGAAGAUCAGAAAUAUUCAAGCAGAAACCUUCAGCUUCCACGAAGGUGGAAAUCAUUCUGCCAUGAAGACCUAACAACCUUCAAAGACAAUCUGAAAAUGGGUGACACGGACCUUCCUGGAGGAUGUUGCACAAGGAGUUUUGUCAAUGUUGCCACAUUCUGGUGUCGACUCCAUUCCACUUGACUCCAUUCCACUCUACUCCAUUUGACUGCAUUGAUUGCCUUUGGUAUUUAUAGAUUAUUGUGAGAAAUUGCAAGAAUUGAUUCUUUUUUUUAUGUGUUGUACAAGUUUGUUGUCAAUAAAAACAAAAACCUUUAUUGAAAAAAUUGUUUGGAUUGUAAACUAUUGUCACAGGAAGAACCUCAGUCACUGUAACUUGCUGCUCUGUUAUUGUUGCAGGAAGAACGUCAGGCGCUGCAACUUGGUUCUCUGUUGUUGUUGCAGGAAGAAUGUCAGUCGCUGCAAGUUGUUGCUCUGUUAUUGUUGCAGGAAGAACGUCAGGCGCUGCUACUUGGUUCUCUGUUGUUGUUGCAGGAAGAAUGUCAGUCGCUGCAAGUUGUUGCUCUG